ensembl:lncRNA
GAGCAUUGGGAGUGCUGAGCCUGGGGCUGCCAUGCACCAUCUGCUCCAUGCAGGUUGUGCGGCUUUGUAAGACCCACUGGAGCUUCACUGCUGUCUUGCCGGUGUCUUUCCAACACCAGCAGCUCCUCUGGCAACUUCAGAUGUUAUUUAUCCAUGUAGCAAAGCGUUGUGUGUAAAUUCAGUGUAAAUUCAGUGCUGCCAACAGCACUAACAGAAUGGUUCAAGAGCAAAUGUUUAUUUUUGUCCCAUUUGCUUUUAGUUGUUUGUUAGAAGCAGGGACCACCAAUGUGGCAACGCGUAGGGAAUGUGUCUGCAUGCUUGAACUCUUCAAUGGCCUCUGCUAGCUGUGCCUGGUGCUUCUAUUUCUCUUUCUGUCCCUCUGUGCUGCUCAGUGGUCACAUCUGUUGUUUGUCUGUAGCUUCAGAUAAAGUACUGUAUGUAGGGCCGCAUCCAGAGUCCCCUGCAGACUUGGGGUUGUGAUGUAGGUUGCUGUUGCUGCUUUUCCUCCUCAUCUUAGAGCCAGUUGGAGCACCCAGAGUCCCCCAGAACUUCCCCUUGGAUACCUCUCUUGGGGUGUCAGCUGUGUGGGGUGUCCUCACACCACAGCCGGGGCUCUACAGCAAUCCCUGGGGUGAAAGCUGAGUGCAAACCUGAUGGCACAGGCAGAACAAAGUAGCUUCUCCCAUUUUAUAAUGUCAUGGCUGGGCUGGUCCCAUCACCAAUGUUCUUCAUUUGUUCUUGCAUCGAGGUAGUGUUGAUUCUAGUUGAAGAGUGCAAUUUUAUUUUGUUUUGUGUUUGGGUUUUUUUUUGUUCGUUUGUUUGUUUUCUUUAAUAAAUAAAUUUGGUUUAAAGCUUCACACUGGCAUUUUUACAGACCUGUUUUUGUCAGCAUAAACCACCGCUGUCCUGAGUUGAGACUCCUGUUUGUUACUGAAUCAAAUUAAUGGAACUGUAUUAAUGAUUUGGAAAGAAAUGAAAGGCAACUAUAUUGGCAGGGGAGGGGUGGGAAAAGAUAAAAUACGAGGGGAAAAAGUGUUUCUAAUAAGGCCAUAAAUUAUUUGAUCUGACACUGCAGGUGCUUUCUCUGUAUAGAUGGUUUUAAUACAUCACUGCUCUGUGUUAGGAUUUUUCAUUAGUGAGAAAAGUUGAGUUUUACACUCCGUGACGAUGGCAGUCUGUAUCCUGAAGCCAGUGAUCCCCCAAAGCAAGACAAACACAUGCCAUGUGAUUGCUGUACUGGAGGCACUUUGUACCUUUCUUUCUCAGUCCCUGUUUGCUGGAGGGGAGGGAGAAUCGCAUGGCAUUGCCAAAACCCCAUCGCCAUCCUUGGGGGCAUCAAAUUGUGUUCUGGGUCUGGAUCCCCUGAGCAUCCAGGUUGGGCUUGUCUGUCCUAUAGAAGCAGGACAGGAGAAAAUACUGCAGUCACUGGAACUUAGCCUAUAACCAUUAGCAAACUGAAGCAAAUAAGAAGGGAAUUUAAAAUAAACCUUUAAAAAUAUGAGAUAUUUCAGCGAGUAGGCAAUGUUUAUUGGCUGUCUUAGAUUUUCAUGGUGGGGGGAUGUUAUAAUUGUUUCCAGUCUUAAGGAGAAUUUUUUUUGUCCCUUGCUGAAGGGGCUUGCUCAUUACUCGUGGUGGGUUCAAACCUGGCGUAUUGCGGAAGCAGAGUGUGUGGAGCAUUACAAUGGCUUUUCUGUACUGGGGAUACAAGCUGACUGUUAUGAGGUCAAUAGUGCACGGAGUAAGUGCAUUUCUGGUGUCUGGCUCGCAUCAUGCUGCAUCAGUGCUGUUGCUGCACUGCAGGUUUAAUUGCAGGCAGUGAUAUUAGUUGCUUUGCUCCCAGUGUUUGCUGAGAAUCAAACCAAUUAGAUGUCUCAGUUAGGAGUUGGUAUCACAUUUUCACAUCAGAAGUCUUGCCUGCAGUUUGAUUGCUGCUUUGGUCAAAGCUCAGAUACAGAUAUUUCUGUUGGGCACAUAUAUCUGUGGCUGCUUCCAAAACUGUUAAUUAGCUCAAAUGAUUUCUGGAAACAGUAGGUAGUUAAUGGGAGUCUAAACCUGUUGCUGAAUGAAGGCUGGAAUCUGUCUGAGUGGUUGUGCUCCCCUCUACUAAGAGAGCAUGUCUGGUCUGGAAAGCCUUACGGUUUUUAGUGUCCCAAAUUUGUGUUUGAUGACAAAAAUCAGUCUAGGCCUGGUCCAAAUGAGGUUUUGCAGUGGGUUUCCUGAGUUGUUGAUGUUCUUAAUAUUAGACGCUGUUGUCGUUUUUGUGUCGGUGUAGCACUCCAUUUUCUAGCAGAUAGGUGGUGGGAAUGUACUUGGUGGGGGCUUGGGAGAGCAUGUCGGUGACCAGAGACAGAGAAACGUGUGGUUGGUUUUAGUGUGCGUGUGAUCAAGGUGGUGAUGCUUUUUUGUUUGUUAUUUUUGUUGUUGUUUUUAACACGGGAACCAUUCUGUCUGUUCUGCUUGGGAAAACGUCCAGAAGUUGUUGUGGUUUCUGUCGUGGUGUAUAUGGAAAAGGAAUACAUGAGAACUGUUUUGUUUUCAUAUGGAGAGAGUUUAUAGGCGGGAGUCCGUUCCAUUUGUUCUGGGAUGUGAGUUAAGCCGAGAGGUAAAGAAAAUGAGUUGUGGGAAGCCCUUUUUAUUGUAACAGCUUUGGACCAUGUUUGCUUGUAGCCUGUGGUCCAGCUCUAUUGAAGGCAGUGAAUAUUGGUCAUAGUGCACGUUUGAGCUUUUUGACCAAAUAUCGAUUCCUUCAGAGCUGACAGGUAUUUUGACGUUCAUGGCAUCAACCAUUAAUGUGCCUACAGCAGAUGGGAAGCUAUAAGCAGAAAUAAGUACUGCAGCCUCAUGGAGUGCCCAGGUUUUGUUUAAUGAACUUGAGCUGGUGACCAACAUGACUUUGUACAGUGAACAGCUCCUGAUAGAGCCCAAAUGUAUUUGGCUCUUUGAGAUGCUUUCCUAGGACUGCAAAUCCGGUGUAUGAUAGACAAUAUUGGCCUUCCAGUCAUCCCAGUCAAAACUGAAAGCCAGAAAAUGUCAUCUUUCAUGCAGUGGUAUCUCUUGCCAUUGGUGGCAUGAGUUAUCAUACAAAAUGUCCCUGUCUGAACUGGCACAAAACAGAAGACCUCUUUGUGACCAGUCUGAGUCUGCACGUAAAACUUGGUAGAUUCGAUGCAGGUCAGAUUUGUAGGUAGAAAAGAUGAGUAACUCCUUUAUAGACUAACAUGAGAAUGUAGUUCUCAUUUUUGCCAAGCAAUCCUGUAGAAAUGUCCCCCAAGGUUUAGCACAGAUCCUUUGGGGACCUGUGAGUCUUUAGCAGAUACAUACGGUACUGUGGGCCUGAUCCCGUGACUGAGACAGGAGGAGCGCAUCUCCGUCAGAUGCACAUGUGAAGGAAUGAUCUUAGCACAGUGUUGCCAUUGCUCUAGAUUUGUCAGUGGGGGGACAACGGUUGUGCAAAUUGUUACCUUCCCCCUAAUCCAGACUUGCAGAUUUGAUUUUAGUGCCCAGUCCAGAAAUGGUUCAGAGCUGCCCUCUUUUCCGUGGCUACCCAACAGCCACAUGCUGUGGCCAAGCGCUUGCUCAGAGAACUGCAAUACAGUGUAAAGCAAUGGGAGUUUGGGUGUUUUUUUCCCAGGUGCUGAGGCAAUGUAGUAAAAGCAAAUGUUUUGGCGUGGGAUUUUAAUAGUGUCUUUGCAUGUAGAACUGAGAAUCUGCAUGGGUUGCUCAACAGAGAAUGAGAAAAAUGUCUCAGGCAGUUGUGCAUGUGAAGAUGCAGAGCAAGAACUCAAUAUUGCUGUGCCUGUGAGUAGAUCUCAGCAUCCCACUUUAGGCACUUACCAGAGCUUGGAGGUGAUCAGCAUCUAAUAAUAGGCAAUCAGGACUGCUCACCUUCCCGCGUGCUCAGGACUGGCGGAGGUUACGAGGGAUGGAGUCUGGGGGCUGUUCCCUCAGCGUUAUUACAGGUUCUUGCAAUGUGAACCUCUAACAUCUUCAAAGACUCAGGCAGAAGGGAUUUGCUAAACAGACUGUAUCUGUCAUCUCCCAGUUCACUGAUUGCUUGGACCAAAGGUGGUGCUAAAUCUGAUCUUCGUCUGUAAUAUUUAUAUUUUUGGACUUUUUUUUAAGUGUUUGAUCAAACAGAUGCAGUGUCCUUACAUGAGAGGUUUAUUCCCAGCUUGGGACUUGGCAAAAUUCACUGGACCUUCAGGGUCCAGAAUGGUUGCUUGUUAACAUUUGAGCAGGCUUGCAGUGUUCCGGGGGGAGGUGGGAAAGGGUACUCUAUCUUCAAAUGUUUGCAGACUGUAAGAAUUGACUUGUGAUUUUUUUUUUUUAAUUAAUUUUGUAUUUUGUUUACAUUGUCUCUUAUGCCCUAAGGAAAAAUAAAUUUUUGACAUUUUUAAUUGU